rnacentral:tRNA from 1 species
CAGUGGGUAGUUUAAAAAAAUAUUAAUUUUGGAGAUUAAUGAUAAGAUUAUAUCUUCCUACUGA